rnacentral:rRNA from 1 species
GACGAACGCUGGCGGCGUGCUUAACACAUGCAAGUCGAACGGAAAGGCCCUGCUUUUGUGGGGUGCUCGAGUGGCGAACGGGUGAGUAACACGUGAGUAACCUGCCCUUGACUUUGGGAUAACUUCAGGAAACUGGGGCUAAUACCGGAUAGGAGCUCCUGCUGCAUGGUGGGGGUUGGAAAGUUUCGGCGGGUGGGGAUGGACUCGCGGCUUAUCAGCUUGUUGGUGGGGGAGUGGCUUACCAAGGCUUUGACGGGUAGCCGGCCUGAGCGGGGGACCGGCCACAUUGGGACUGAGAUACGGCCCAGACUCCUACGGGAGGCAGCAGUGGGGAAUAUUGCACAAUGGGCGGAAGCCUGAUGCAGCAACGCCGCGUGCGGGAUGACGGCCUUCGGGUGGUAAACCGCUUUCGCCUGUGACGAAGCGUGAGUGACGGUAAUGGGUAAAGAAGCACCGGCUAACUACGUG